UACGAAGGGGGCUAGCGUUGUUCGGAAUUACUGGGCGUAAAGCGCGCGCAGGCGGUCCUUCAAGUCAGGGGUGAAAGCCCAGAGCUCAACUCUGGAACUGCCUUUGAGACUAGAGGACUUGGGUACGGGAGAGGUGAGUGGAAUUCCGAGUGUAGAGGUGAAAUUCGUAGAUAUUCGGAAGAACACCAGUGGCGAAGGCGGCUCACUGGCCCGUUACCGACGCUCAGGCGCGACAGCGUGGGGGAGCAAACAGG
rnacentral:rRNA from 1 species